rnacentral:sRNA from 1 species
UUCCUCAUGUCUGAGGGUCGUGACCACCAUC